UUAAAAUGCAAAGAAACCUUAGCCUGAGCAGAGAAAUGAUGUGAACAAAUGAAUGUGGCUGAUGGAUUUAAGGGACACAGGUCCCCUAAAAAUGAACACCUACACUGGCACACCCAACAUCUAGGCUGGCAAAUCAGUGCAUACACGUAUUUAUUUUCUCUGUGGGUUUCUGUUCAGGUAAGCAGUCUGGAUAAAGCUUUGGUCACAGGCUGUCUUGUCAAGUUCCUGGUGCUUCCUUAUUUAGAACCAGCCAUCCAAGUGUCCUGGGUUCCCCCAAAGGCCAAAGGGAAUGCCUAAUGUCCAAUGGGUGGGGGCUGCCUUUCUCUGCCCCUGGGAAACAGUUCAGUUCCUUCCUGUAAGUCAUCUGUUGUGAAGUUAAAUGCAAACACUCGGAACUGGCUGAUGGAUCAAUUCAUUUUCCUCUCAAAGGUCUGGCGUGUGGUUUUUUUUUGGUGUUUUUUUCCCCCUUCUGCCUUCCUGUUCCCUGGAGUGUAGUAUACAUGUGCUAACUUUGGUAUGUCCUCAGCGUGACCUCCUGGUCGUUAUGUAAAAUACCCAUUGGUUCUGUAAACGGAAAAUAUGACUCAACCGGCACUGUCGGCCCCUGAUUGGCUGCUAGAGUACUAAAACCCUGCACCUGUGCUGGUUACCCGAAUAGCGUCAGCCUGCCAUUGCUUAACCCCCGGGUUGCCAAAUCUGUGCCCAUGACAUUGGCCUGUGCAAUGCAGAUUUCAAAAGCUGGUCAGAUACAAAGUCAUACUUGAAGGCAAUUCAACUCUACACUUUUCAGUGUGUUCUGGAGUUUUAAAGGGGGGGAAUAUACAAAUAGGACUAGCCUUAUGUGACUCCUCUGGGCUCCACAAUUCUACAGGAUUAAUAUUGCUCCUCAUCUUUCCACAAGAGAUGUGGGUCCGCCUCUCCUGACUGGUCUCUCUUAUUCAGCUUCCUGAAUUGCCUUGUCUGAAACUUCCACUUCAAAUCUCAGGUCUCAUUCAUUCUCUUAUCAAGCUCAUCUUGUCCUUUAUGAGGCCACAGGAGGAGCUGUGGCUGCCGCUCACCUCUCCUCCGUGGAGAAGACGAAUUUUCUAAGCUUCAGAUCCCCCAGCACGAUGG